AUUCCUCAUCCUUACUCCAGGGUUAUUGUUGUCUAUACAUUCUCUGGCAUUACUUGAGGAUAAAGUAAAUGUUCUCUUGCUACCUCUGGAAUCCCUUUUUCCAAAGGAAUAGCAAAGUUGAGCAUACAUA